UACGGAGGGGGCUAGCGUUGUUCGGAAUUACUGGGCGUAAAGCGCACGUAGGCGGCUUUGUAAGUUAGAGGUGAAAGCCCAGGGCUUAACCCUGGAAUUGCCUUUAAGACUGCAUCGCUAGAAUCGUGGAGAGGUGAGUGGAAUUCCGAGUGUAGAGGUGAAAUUCGUAGAUAUUCGGCAGAACACCAGUGGCGAAGGCGACUCACUGGCCCAUUACUGACGCUGAUGCGCGAAAGCGUGGGGAGCAAACAGG
rnacentral:rRNA from 1 species